CUGUGUAGUGAAAGAUCCAGCCAGAACCAAGUCCUGUAAAGCUGGAAGUACAGAGAGAGAGGCCAUCCUGUUCCCUGCCAAGCUGCUAGAUACUCAGAAGGAGAAAGGUGCCAUUGGUGAGACUGAUUCUGUAAUUUCCAGUGUGAUUUCCUCUGAGAGCACCCCGGUGAGUGAGCCACCCAAGGGAGGAUACUGGCAAGGAUACAAGCGUGGGGCCCCAAAACGACUACAGGUCUUGUGUAUUCACCUGCUGCGUGGGAGUGCUGCUGGAUUCCAAAGAGAGAGAUGCUGCACUGCUUAGAUGAAAAGGUUAAUUGAGGACAACUUGCCAUCUCAAGGAACAUCAGCUUAAUGAUGUAGCUGUAAUCAUGAAAUGGUCUAGUAUUGCUGAAAAAAUCAAUACAAAUUGUCUUUGGACUCUAUUGUUUUUAGGUUAAUUGUGGCAGUACUAUACCCUUCAAUCUGUUGAAAGUGAUUGAAAAAACAUGAUAACCUAACACGCAUGUAUGGGAACUGUAACACAAAUAAAACCCCAUGACAUGCUCUCAAAUUAUUUUUUGUGGCUUUUUACGGCAUUGAAGCUUUAUGAGAAGAUUAGUUAGGAGGCAAGGCCGCAAAAUCUAAUAAAACUAAAAAAGUGUGCACCUGACUAUACAAUAAAACUCUCAACAUUGA